GACAGAGGUGCCAAGCGUUAGGCGGAAUCACUGGGCUUAAAGCGUGUGUAGGCGGAUCGUUAAGUACCUUGUGAAAUCCCACGGCUCAACCGUGGAACUGCUGGGUAUACUGGCGAUCUUGAGCCACCUAGGGGCGAGCGGAACAAGCGGUGGAGCGGUGAAAUGCGCAGAUAUCAGGAGGAACACCGAUUGCGAAGGCAGCUCGCUGGGACGUUACUGACGCUGAGACGCGAAAGCGUGGGGAGCAAACAGG
rnacentral:rRNA from 1 species